rnacentral:rRNA from 1 species
UGGGGUAUCUUGGACACUGGGGGGAACCCUGAUCCAGCCAUGCCGCGUGUGUGAAGAAGGCCCUUUGGAAGUAAAGCACUCUAAGCGAGGAGGAGGGUACUGGUAUUAAUACUACCAGGUACUGGACGUUACUCGCAGAAUAAGCACCGGCUAACUCUGUGCAAGCAGCCGCGGUAAUACAGAGGGUGCGAGCGUUAAUCGGAUUUACUGGGCGUAAAGCGUGCGUCCGCGGCUAAUUUAGUCGCAUGUGAAAUCCCCGAGCUUAACUUGGGAAUUGCAUUCGAUACUGGUUUGCUAGAGUGUGGGAGAGGAUGGUAGAAAUCCAGGUGUAGCGGUGAAAUGCGUAGAGUACAUGAGGAAUACCGAUGGCGUAGGCAGCCAUCUGGCCUAACACUGACGCUAAGGUACGAAAGCAGGGGCAGCAAACAGG